UACGGGGGGUGCAAGCGUUAUUCGGAAUUACUGGGCGUAAAGAGCGCGUAGGCGGUCCUUUAAGUCGGGUGUGAAAGCCCAGGGCUUAACCUUGGAAUUGCAGUCGAUACUAUUGAUCUUGAAUACCUGAGAGGGUGUCGGAAUUCCCGGUGUAGGAGUGAAAUCCGUAGAUAUCGGGAGGAACAUCCGAGGCGAAGGCGGACACCUGGCGGUGUAUUGACGCUGAGGCGCGAAAGCGUGGGGAGCAAACAGG
rnacentral:rRNA from 1 species